AAGAAGAGAGCAGAGAGAAAAGAGGCAUAGAAGAGGAGAAAGGAGAAGAACUGUGAGCUCUGGAAAUAAGAGAGAAGAAGGAAAAGACCAUCAAGAUCAACAAAAGCGAAAGAAGAGAGCAGAGAGAAAAGAGGAAUAUAAGAGGCGAAAGCAGGAGAUGUGUGAGCUCUGGAAAGAAGAGAGAAGAAAGAAAAGACCGGUUGCAAGAUUGUUGGGGUAGGAUAAAGAAGUGGAGAGAUUGAAGAAUUUGGUCGAAGAGGUUACUGGGUUUUGGAAGAGAUGUGUGUUUGAUUUGGGUAUAUGUUUGGUAAAAUCUCCUGGCAGCCACAAGUGAUUAUACUCUUAUUGUAGUUGCAAAAUAAUAACUGAAGCUCUCAACUCUCUCUCUCUAAUGCCUCAUGUUCUCAACCUCGCUCCUCGCAGCUCAGUUCUCUGAGUUUUUUUUUUUUUUUGGUGAACAAUAUGAGCAACUAUUAUUGUUAAAGAUCGGAGCAACUAAUUAUUUCUGUAAUCAGAGGUUCAUGGGAUGGCUUAGUUUUUGGUUGGAUUUAUUGUAUGCAGAUUAGGUAGCAUUUGAGCUGUUGUCAAUUGUCAAGCUGCUGUUGACAUUCCAAUCAUCUUUCUCAGAAUUUAUGCAAAAGAGUCUAAACAUCAUUGGGCUGCCACUAUUCCUUGGUCUCUACUGUUUCACGUUGUCUGCAUCUUUCAUUCUUAUUCAGAGCUUUGGGACAGUGUGCACUCAGUUAUGGCAUCAGAUAUCAGGCACAGAAGAGGAAAAAGAUUGCUAGAACAAAAUUGUUCUAUAUAUAAAGGGUGAAUAACACUGUUACACUAUUGCUAAGAAGCGAAAAACCUGUUUGUCCUCACUGUUCAAGGAGAAUAUCAGGUUGGCGGAAAAGUCGUUUUUGUCCUUCCUUUUGUCAGCGUUGGACAGGUAUAACGAUCGGGUCAUUUUCGUCCUUGCAUUUCUCAGUCUUGGAUAACGAUCGGGCUGCGAUUCAGUGGCUUACAAACAAUUUCAGUUCUGUCCAGGCGAAAGAAGAGAGAGGAGAAGAUCUAUUGCAAGAAAGAGGAAAGGAGGAGAUCUAUCGGGUCUGCAAAGAGGGAUAGAAGAGAGGAAAAGAGAAGAUCUAUUGGGUCUGGGAUCGAAAAAAGCGAAAAAAGAGAGUGGAAAGAAAAAACCGGUUGCAAAGAAUUUUAUCAUCAGAUACUUCCCAAGGCUUUAGCACAUUUCUUUCAAUCGAAGUUUCUGGUCAUAACUUGGUCAGGGCUUAGAAUUUAGGAACAGUUUGCAGGCAGAUUCUUCAGUUGUCUUGCAUUGAGGUCUGCUGUAGGAAAACUGAGGCAACGAUUAGGGAUUCCGCAGACAUUGAAUCGACAUCACGGUUGACUGCAGGUUGACAUUCACGUUCCAGUCCAGUUGCAAACCAGAGUUUCUUUAUUGACAGAACCGUAUCAAUUGAAAGGUUUAAAACGGAACAGCAGCUAAACUGUCAAACGUCUAGAGUUUAAAAUCAAGGAGAGAGAGAGAGAUAACUGAUAUUCAGAAAAGGAGAUACUGACAUCAUCUCAGUACGAGGUAUUUUGAUCCAUUUCAAUUCGAUCACUUAUCAAGAACGAUCCACACAGAAAUAGAGAGAUUUGCUGUGAUUGUUUGCUUUGCUUUGCACAAAGACAGAGAGAGAGAGAGAUAGCUGAUAUUCACAAAAGGAGAUUGUCACCUCAUCAUCUGAGUAUGAGCACACCAGAGGAUCACAGGAUGAUUGUUAUUGAUAUUCGAAUUAGAACAAAUCUCCUGAACAGAAAAUGAACCAAGUAUGAUGGUAGGGUUCGUAUAAGUUCAGAUUCGAUGAGUAAAAUAGAGGCAGAACUUGAACCUGAAUUUCAAAGGUUAGGGCUAAACAAGAAUACUUCUACUUUGGAGAGAAGAUUAACUGAUCUUGAUGAGUUUGACGAAUUGGUAGAGCUGGAGUGAUCUGAUUGCCAAUAUAUGAAAUUAACAAUGAGUCCAAGCUGCUAUCAUCACAGUUGAAGGGGGUUAUACCCUGGUGGAGAUCUUCCCUUCCUGUCCAAGACCAUGAGUUGUUAAGAAUGAAGAUCUAUUAAGAGUUUUGGUGAAAAUUGAGAGCUUCGAAGCCAUUCACAAACAGGAAAAAAUCAUUGAAGCUUUCUAUGGAGUCAUGAUUGCUCGGAUUGAUCUUGGAGUUGAAAUCCCACUCAAACAGAUUCCAAUGGUCCAAGAGAAAAUAAUUCAAGUGUGUGGGCAGCUAAACAAUCAAGUAUUUGUAGCUUCUCAACUACUUGAAUCAAUGAUUGAAUACCCAACCCCAACACACGUUGAGGAAAGGAUAUUUCUUCCUUGCCUUGGUGGUGAAUUGGACAGUGAGUGUGAUGAACCAGUUUCAAUGAAACUGUCUACACACAAUCAAGAAGAGCUACUAGAUUGCAAAACACUAUAAGAGGUUUUAAAGAGCUUGGAAAAGAAGGUGCCUAACUUGAAAAUUUUCACCUAUGAACGAUUGGAUCGAUUGAAAAGAGUGAGAAUGUGACACAGAAUGCGUUUAGAAGUGAUGCAGAAUACUUAACCUGUGAAUGUUCUUUUCUGAUUUUGGGUUGGUUUCUUAUUUGAAUCCUUUUCGUUUGAUUUUUGUUGGUUGUUAGUUCAGUUAGGAAAAAAGCAAUUUACAAUUGUUAUAUGACUAGAAUGCAUUUAUACUACCCGAGGCAAAGUGCAGUAUCGCAAGGUUUGUUUAUCUCAGAUAUACUGCAUGUAUGUCAACAAUGGAAACUUGGAGCAGUAACUUCAUGGAGGUAUCUGUCACCAUGGGUAUCUCUAUUUGCCUUUGAUGCCAACGUGUUCUUCUUAUUCAACGAGUCACAAGAUAUACUUUUUCGCAUUCUUGCUUAUUUACACAACGCCAUUGCACCAAAGUUGAUACAUCGAGACAUUAAGCGGAGGCUUCUUCUUAGCUGCAAAGUACUUUGUAAAGGAAUAUCCAUUUGCGGAAGAGAGAGCAGUUACUGACUUUAGUUUGCCAAAUCAAGUCUGACUGAUAAGAAAAUUGAAUUCAAGAGGGAGUUCCGAGUCACCUCCAGGUGAGGUACUGCUAAUGUCGCUGGAUGCAAUUGUUGCACGGCUAAAACAGAAAGCUGAUUGUCUAGAGGGAUACAUAUUCUAUCACAGAACAAUGUGGUAAUGGAAAUCAAAGGCUUGGAGGAAUCAGAUGAUAUUGAAGUACUUUCUAGAGCAAUUCAAUUGGGAACAAUUUGUGUCUCUUCACAAAAAUACUACUGCAAUUGAUGUAAUAUAUGGUAUUUUAUCAGUUUGAUCAAUAAUAAAGUCAUUUUCAAUUA